rnacentral:rRNA from 1 species
UGGUGGAGUGAUUUGUCUGGUUAAUUCCGUUAACGAACGAGACCUCCGCCUGCUAAAUAGUUUACUUUAUCAUUUUGAUAGAGGUGGACUUCUUAGAGGGACUUUUAGCGAUUAGCUAAAGGAAGUUGGAGGCAAUAACA